AUCCUGUGGUGAGGGCAAGUCAAGAUGUACUCUUGGAGCCUUUCCCACACUUCAGAAAUUGACUCAGCUGACGCCUGCAGGAAACAUAAAUCUUUUCAUGAAGGGU